CAGCCGCCGCGGUAAAACGAAGGGUGCAAGCGUUACUCGGAAUUACUGGGCGUAAAGCGUGCGUAGGUGGUGGUUUAAGUCCGUUGUGAAAGCCCUGGGCUCAACCUGGGAAUUGCAGUGGAUACUGGGUCACUAGAGUGUGGUAGAGGAUAGUGGAAUUUCCGGUGUAGCAGUGAAAUGCGUAGAGAUCGGAAGGAACAUCUGUGGCGAAGGCGACUAUCUGGGCCAACACUGACACUGAGGCACGAAAGCGUGGGGAGCAAACAGGAUUAGAUACCCCAGUAGUCCCUGUCUCUUAUAA
rnacentral:rRNA from 1 species